rnacentral:rRNA from 1 species
AUGAGGACUAAUCUGUCUCUUACGGACCAACCAAUGAAAUUAAUCUUUCAGUACAAAAGCUGAAAUAAAAACAUAAGACGAGAAGACCCUGUGGAGCUUCAAACCAAAAACACCCUGCAUGCUCCUCAGGUUUUUAGUUGGGGCGACUUCGGAGCACAAUAAAACCUCCAAAAUCUUUAUCUUCAAGAUUAACAAACCAAAAACUUUAUUAGACCCAGCAAUGUAUAACAUUGUCUGACCACUGAACCAAGUUACCCCAGGGAUAACAGCGCCAUCCCCUCCUAGAGUCCAUAUCAACAAGGGGGUUUACCACCUCGAUGUUGGAUC